GUGCUUGCUUAAGCAGCACACAUACUAAAAUUGGGAAGGUACAGAGAUUAGCAUGGCUUCUGCGCAAGGAUCACACACAAAUUUGUGAAGCGUUCCAUAUUUUU